ACACGGACCCCACGAGCGCGGCGGCGGCGACAGCGGCGGGCCAGGCAAGAGCACAACAUGGCGGCGGGCAGGACGGACCGAGCUACAGCAGCGGCCGCGCGAGGAAGUGAGGUCUCUGGCGAAGGCGGGAAGCGCUGCCCCUCCCCCCCGCCGCCGCUCCCCUAUCACCCUCGCACAGAAACUCCCGCACACUCACACACCUCUGCUCAGGAGUCCAGGAAGAGCAGGAGCCGCCCCCGCGCUCCUACGGAGUCGGGCAAUGCAGAGGCCCAGGCGCGGCGGAGGGGAGGGGGAAGUGUGCGUCACGGAGAACGGAGCGCGCGCGAAGCGGGGGCACAAGCAAGAUGGCGGCCACGCCGUUUGCACCGUUUCCCCUUUUCCCUUCCCCCUCCCCUGGCGCCUGGACUCCCAGUAUCGUGCAGUACGCAGAAGCUGUGCUCCUUGAGGUCUCGCGAGAAUUGGGAAGGGACGACGACAGAGGGAGGCGGAAUGAGAUCUGAGAGUUUUAACCCCGCCCCCUUUCGGGAGCUCGAGAUCUGAGUUUUGACCCCGCCCCCUUUCGGGGGAUCCGGAGGCGCUGCCCAGUGACCUCCACCACCCUGCCUAUCCUUGUGGAUCUCCUUGGUGCGAGCUUGAAUCUUAGGAAAUAAGUAGGUGUGUGCGCGUGCCCUUGAGUUUUAGGAACUAAGUAGGGGCGUGUGUGUGUAUUUGUGUUUUUAAUUUGGGGAGAACUGGGGGAUGAAGGUCGACAUGGCGUUCCAGAUUAAGCAUGUCGUUCAAGUAGACAGCUACUGGCACCUUAAAUUCAUAAAAGAGCAUUUAGCACCAAACUGUAAAGUGAUGUCCUCUAGAAUAAAGAACAGUACUUACCAAGAAUAGUUAGCUUGUAACCUUACGUCGACAUAGUUGUUCUUAUUUGAAUGCAGAUUUUAAAGUUUUAUCACGCAGUUGGAAACCACAGCUACUAUGAGCAUGGAUUUUUUCAUACUUAUCUCUUUCAUUUCCGUGACCACUUGGUCCAAAGGCAUCAGGAUUGUAUCCAUUUUACAAAUAAUAAAACUGAAGCUCAAAAAGGUUAAGUAACUUGACCUAAGGCCCCACAGCUAGUAAGUGUCAAAACCCCAUCCGAAUAACUUCAAAACCUGUAGAUAUAGUCAUCAAAUGUGUCUUGAAUGGAAUUACCUACAGUGAGAGUUAGUGCAUUAGGUAACAAGCGCAGAGAGGAAUGACUGCCUCUGCUGAUGGUAACCUUGAAUUUUACAAAUGACAUUGGAGCCUUUCUGAGACUAGUGUUGCAUGGGUCCUCAAUAAAAUCACACUGUUGUUACUCACUUCCUUUGGGUUUAUAACCCUGGUGAUAAAGUAAUUGAGAAUAGUGGAGUAAACCCUCGACUUGAAUUCAGGAAAAUUGUUUUCAAAUCUAGUUUCAAUAAAUCUCACAUCAGGCACUCUAUUUGAUGAAUGAAUGAACAAAACCUAACUAUAAGACACUUGACUUCAGGGAGUCUCAAUUCCUUCAUCUGUAAAAAGAUCUAAUUCCUAACUUUUGGUAAUGUUGGGGAGAGUGAAUGAAAUAAUGUGAGAGUGCUUCGUAAAUUGCAAAAGUGUUAUAAAGAAGUUACUGGUAAGAGCUACGAGUGUCUCGCUGCACUCUAGCAUGGGCGACAGUGCGAGGCCCUGUCUC
rnacentral:antisense_RNA from 1 species